GAUUAAUCUGAUUAAUCUGAACCCUCAAAAACCCCCCACCCCCUUUAAAAUCAAGGGUGUAUACCUGAACCCCCCUUUCUCUCUCUGGACUUUUGGCUCCAUCAAAUUGAGAUUCAGGUUUUGAAUUUUGAAUUUUGAAAAGGGUUUGAGCUCCACAAAUCUCAAAUCUGAGACAAGGCUCUCUUCCACCACCACUCCAUCCUCUUUCUACAGCAACGGUUCUUCUGCGUCAAGAAGUAGCAAUGGUGGCUAUGGUUCAAGUGGUGGUAGCAUGCGUUGCUUGGGUUCUAACAGCAUUAAGUAUUCCGCCAACCACCAGUGAAAACGAGCGCCAUAAACAGAUUCCACUAGGUUUUCGACGAGAUUUCUGGUAUGUGUACAUUGUUAAUGGACAAAUCUGUUUGUUUUUUUGUGUGUGUAUAUGUUUCUAUAAUGCAAUUAGUGAACAAACAGAUGGUGGUUACAAUUUGCAACUACACUUUCUUCAACUCUUCAGUUUCUCUUCUACUCAGACCCCACCUCCUUACUCUUCAAAGCCCUAAAUCGUCUAUCAAAUUUUUGAAUCUACAAGUUAAUUUGAUGAUAUAGUGAAUGUUCAAGUUACAGAUGUAAUUGAAGAUCUAUCAAGGCCUAAUUUGAAGAGAGAGUCUGGAUGCAGAGAUAUUUGACUACCGUUGGUUCCUGAUAAAGCAAGGGGCUAAAGCUAUGAAUUAAUCUGUUUUUGUACUUUAUUCUUUAUUGUUGUUGGGAGUAUGGAGUUUACGGGUUGAGAUUAAAAUUUGAAGCGCAGGUUUUGGCAUUCUGAUCCAAAAUUACUUUGAUUCUUAUACUGGUACAUGUAACUAAGCUUGAGACACUUGUAUGUUAUUUGCUAAACUGCUGAUGCUUGAUUGAUGUAUUUUAUAGAGUUUUUGAGUCAACAUUUGCUAGAAGAAAGUCUAUUCUAAAGGAAUGGUUCUCAAAGAAGUACAAGCAGCUCACACUCAAGUGAUUAAUCAUCAUAGUUUGGUUAUGAUGUUUGUUGUUUUUUUUUUCUACUAGCAGUAGACCCUAGACCACAUACCAUAAACGUCAUAGUGGUAGCAACCAGCUGGUACAUCAAUCUUUAUUCAAUCUACUUUUACACUUAUUAUCUAAUUAGAAAAUUAUAUAUAUUGACAGUGUAAUACGUAGAAGACACUUUUAUCUUAUUGUAUGUCUCUUUUGCUAUAUAUUCAAGGUCACCUAAGACCUGCUAAUGCAUACAUUUUUCUAAAAGGAAACGCCUCAAAUUGGCUUGGUUAACCUACUUGAUGAUUGUGUUGUGCGUGUAUGUGCGUAGAUGUAUGCAAUGUGUGUGCCAGUUACGUUUGGGUUUUUCAAAAUCACAUGUGAAGCAGUAACGAGCAGACUGUUACAUCUCUUCCACAUGUGGUAGAAAAGAUUCUUGCUGGAACCAUAAGGCGAGAGGCUUUUGUUACUAGAUCGUUUCUUCUCUCUGCAUGAUUCCUCCUGCCUUCUUCAACUUGUGAAGUUCUAUUUGAACAUGUGGUUGCUGGCCAGAUUGGUGUAAUAAGAUUACUGAGAUAUUUUGGCAGAGCAAAAUUUCAGCGACCUAAACUAGGGUGCCGGUGAGGUUCCGAUCAAAUUCCGCUAAGUCCUAUUUCUUAUGCAUAUCUCAUUUACUUUGAUGUGGAUGUUAUUUCGAAGCAAUUUGUUGUCAUCGUUUGAAACACAUAGGAUAUUGCUAUGUGUUUCUUUGUACCACAAUUACAAGUAGAUGGUGAUAUGGUGAAGAUAUCAUAUUUUUACUA